CUCACUCGGUCGACCCCGCGCGCGCACACAGCCCGCGUCCUCUUCGCCCCCGGCUCGGUCCUGCCCCGCGUCCCUGCAGUUCACAAAGGGCGUCGGCCAGCUCCUGGGUGGUGACCUCGAUGAACUUGGGAUCUUGAGCAAACUGCCCCAGUCCUUCUGAAAUCAAGACCUGAAGGAGCGGGGUGGGAGCCAUGAAGAACCAAAGGAACAUUACUCCUGGAGCCCAGCUCUUCCCUUGAGGGCUAGAGCGAGGGGGUAUCUGGUCUCAUCCUGAGACGUCUCCUCCUGACCCGCCAUGGCUGCCUGGCUCUCCCGGGAGUGGCACCUACAAUAUCCAAGAUGAAGAAAAACAUCAGAAACUGCCAACCUUCCUCCACUUCCUUCAGCAAGUAAAGCAUCACACACGCACACACAUGCAGGUGUACACACGUGCACAAACACAAGCACACACACGUGAACAGGCAUACAGUUGCUGGUGCUUUGUUCUCCUGUGAUUGCUGAUGGAUCCAUAGAAGUGUUCAGAUUAGGGUGAGGGUCCCAUUUGGGAGAAGGAUGUCUGCUGUGGAUCCAGGAGUCCUGACCCCAAUCCACUUACCCUCUGGUCCAAGUCACUUGGUCCACCUCAUGCCUCAGUUUCCCUAUGAAAUUGGAAUGACAUAUGCCCUGCCUAACUUAGAGGCUGCCCCCCACUCACCUCCAGCUAUGACACCUGGGUCUUUGGCAUUUGGCAUAGCUGAGAAGUCCUUGGCCUCUUAUUUUGAUGGUGCCCUUGAUUCUGACACUGGCACCCUGGGGUAAAGGCACAGAGAGGAAGCCUCACCUAGAGGGGUUUGCUCUCCUGAG
rnacentral:lncRNA from 1 species